CUACGGGGGGCAGCAGUGGGGAAUAUUGGACAAUGGGCGAAAGCCUGAUCCAGCCAUGCCGCGUGUGUGAAGAAGGCCUUCGGGUUGUAAAGCACUUUCAGUGGGGAAGAAAGCCUUGGGGCUAAUACCCUCGAGGAAGGACAUCACCCACAGAAGAAGCACCGGCUAACUCCGUGCCAGCAGCCGCGGUAAUACGGAGGGUGCGAGCGUUAAUCGGAAUUACUGGGCGUAAAGCGCGCGUAGGCGGUCUGAUAAGCCGGUUGUGAAAGCCCCGGGCUCAACCUGGGAACGGCAUCCGGAACUGUCAGGCUAGAGUGCAGGAGAGGAAGGUAGAAUUCCCGGUGUAGCGGUGAAAUGCGUAGAGAUCGGGAGGAAUACCAGUGGCGAAGGCGGCCUUCUGGACUGACACUGACGCUGGGGUGCGAAAGCGUGGGUAGCAAACAGGAUUAGAUACCUGGAGUC
rnacentral:rRNA from 1 species